rnacentral:rRNA from 1 species
GAUGAACGCUGGCGGCGUGCCUAAUACAUGCAAGUCGAGCGAAUGGAUUAAGAGCUUGCUCUUAUGAAGUUAGCGGCGGACGGGUGAGUAACACGUGGGUAACCUGCCCAUAAGACUGGGAUAACUCCGGGAAACCGGGGCUAAUACCGGAUAACAUUUUGAACCGCAUGGUUCGAAAUUGAAAGGCGGCUUCGGCUGUCACUUAUGGAUGGACCCGCGUCGCAUUAGCUAGUUGGUGAGGUAACGGCUCACCAAGGCAACGAUGCGUAGCCGACCUGAGAGGGUGAUCGGCCACACUGGAGCUGAGACACGGCCCAGACUCCUGCGGGAGGCAGCAGUAGGGAAUCUUCCGCAAUGGACGAAAGUCUAACGGAGCAACGCCGCGUGAGUGAUGAAGGCUUUCGGGUCGUAAAACUCUGUUGUUAGGGAAGAACAAGUGCUAGUUGAAUAAGCUGGCACCUUGACGGUACCUAACCAGAGAGCCACGGCUAACUACGUGCCAGCCGCCGCAGUAA